rnacentral:rRNA from 1 species
UACGUAGGUGGCAAGCGUUGUUCGGAAUUAUUGGGCGUAAAGGGCGCGUAGGCGGUUUGUUAAGUCGGCUGUGAAAGCCCGGGGCUUAACCCCGGGUCUGCAGUGGAUACGGGCAGGCUAGAGUUCGGCAGGGGAGACUGGAAUUCCUGGUGUAGCGGUGAAAUGCGCAGAUAUCAGGAGGAACACCGGUGGCGAAGGCGGGUCUCUGGGCCGAUACUGACGCUGAGGAGCGAAAGCGUGGGGAGCGAACAGG